rnacentral:tRNA from 1 species
GGCCUGGUCGCCAAGUGGUAAGGCACCGGUUUGCAAAACCGUUAUUCGUCGGUUCAAUCCCGACCCAGGCCU